rnacentral:rRNA from 1 species
AGUGAACGCUGGCGGUAGGCCUAACACAUGCAAGUCGAACGGCAGCACAGUAAGAGCUUGCUCUUACGGGUGGCGAGUGGCGGACGGGUGAGGAAUACAUCGGAAUCUACUUUUUCGUGGGGGAUAACGUAGGGAAGCUUACGCUAAUACCGCAUACGACCUACGGGUGAAAGCAGGGGAUCUUCGGACCUUGCGCGAUUGAAUGAGCCGAUGUCGGAUUAGCUAGUUGGCGGGGUAAAGGCCCACCAAGGCGACGCUCCGUAGCUGGUCUGAGAGGAUGAUCAGCCACACUGGAACUGAGACACGGUCCAGACUCCUACGGGAGGCAGCAGUGGGGAAUAUUGGACAAUGGGCGCAAGCCUGAUCCAGCCAUACCGCGUGGGUGAAGAAGGCCUUCGGGUUGUAAAGCCCUUUUGUUGGGAAAGAAAAGCAGCAGGUUAAUACCCCGCUGUUCUGACGGUACCCAAAGAAUAAGCACCGGCUAACUUCGUG